CUCGCCACCCCGCUCGCACAACCCCGCCGCCACUGCCGCUCCGGCCCCCGCCCACGCCUGGCAUCCUCCUCCUCUUCGUCCGCUGAGUAUAGCGAGUCGGCGGCUGAGGGAGCGAUGGCCUCAGAGUAGAGCUGGUAGGGUGGGGGAAGUGGACGAGUUCUAGGUGGCCGCCACUACUCCACCUCCACUGCUGCUCCGACCCCUGCCCACUCCUGGCCACCUCCUCCUCUGUCCAUCGCCUCUCCUCCUCCUCAUCUGCCUCCUCCUCCUCCUCACCACUUCCUCGUCGCCUUCGAGCUCUCUCUCCCUAGCCGCGCUUGAUCUAGCCGCCUAGAGGUCAGGGACCGUCGGAUCUGACCUCCUUGAGGUCGGAGCACGCUGGAUCCAGCCGCAGCCGACCUUACUAUCAUGGAUCACCUCACACGCACUCGGGGGCUGGUGUGGUCUGGCUGGAAGGAGAUGAUGGCAGCGACGGCUCGAAGGAGAUAAGCAGCAAGGGAAUCGAUGACGACGGUAGCAGAUCCACAUCCACUGGGAUGGUGAGUCUGAUAUGUUGGGCAUGUAAUGGUUGGGUAUGGCGGAAGAUUUUGAUCUAUGUGAAUUGUUCUGAUCUGGGAUGUGAUUAGCUUGUUCUUGUCUUCUUGAUAUGUGAUGUGCUUUUUUGU
rnacentral:sRNA from 1 species